rnacentral:rRNA from 1 species
GCGUGAGUGAUGAAGGCCUUCGGGUUGUAAAGCUCUUUUACCCGGGAAGAUAAUGACUGUACCGGGAGAAUAAGCUCCGGCUAACUUCGUGCCAGCAGCCGCGGUAAUACGAAGGGGGCUAGCGUUGUUCGGAAUUACUGGGCGUAAAGCGCGCGCAGGCGGUUUCUCAAGUCAGUGGUGAAAGCCCGGAGCUCAACUCCGGAACUGCCAUUGAAACUGUGAAACUUGAGGACGAGAGAGGUGAGUGGAAUUCCCAGUGUAGAGGUGAAAUUCGU